rnacentral:rRNA from 2 species
AGUGAAGUGAGCGGGAUGAGCUUCAAAUUUAAAAUCUGGCUGGUUUACUAGUCCGAAUUCGUAGUUUAUAGAAGCGUUUUCGGUGGCAGCCUGGGUAUAAAUCCUUUGGAAUAGGGUAUCAUAGAGGGUGAGAAUCCCGUCUUUGACUCAGUGCAUGCUACUAUGUGAUACGUUUUCAAAGAGUCGAGUUGUUUGGGAAUGCAGCUCAAAAUGGGUGGUAAAUUUCAUCUAAAGCUAAAUAUUGGCGAGAGACCGAUAGCGAACAAGUACCGUGAGGGAAAGAUGAAAAGAACUUUGAAAAGAGAGUUAAACAGUGCGUGAAAUUGUUGAAAGGGAAACGUUUGACACCAGUUAUGCGGGUGGAAAAUCAGUCUUUUGCAAUGGGGAGUUGUGGGCGUUCAGACCGCAAGGCUGGCGUUUGCUUCAUCUUUGUUGUAAGUGAUGCACUUUUUCAUUUGCAGGUCAACAUCAGUUUGCUUUGCUGGACAAAACCCCAAGGGAAGGUGGCAGCUUAGGCUGUGUUAUAGCCCUGGGGCGAUACAGUGGAGUGGACUGAGGUUUCGCAGUGUGUGCUCUCGGGCAAGGCUGACUGGGUGCUAUGGGAUCGUUCGGCGUACAAUGCAUGCAUUUUGCGUCGUGUCUUUUUUAUACUCGCUCAACUCGGCUCUUCCACACUUAGGAUGUUGACUUAAUGGUUUUAAACGACCCGUCU